rnacentral:rRNA from 1 species
GAGUAAUGUCUGGGAAACUGCCUGAUGGAGGGGGAUAACUACUGGAAACGGUGGCUAAUACCGCAUAACGUCGCAAGACCAAAGAGGGGGACCUUCGGGCCUCUUGCCAUCAGAUGUGCCCAGAUGGGAUUAGCUUGUUGGUGAGGUAACGGCUCACCAAGGCGACGAUCCCUAGCUGGUCUGAGAGGAUGACCAGCCACACUGGAACUGAGACACGGUCCAGACUCCUACGGGAGGCAGCAGUGGGGAAUAUUGCACAAUGGGCGCAAGCCUGAUGCAGCCAUGCCGCGUGUAUGAAGAAGGCCUUCGGGUUGUAAAGUACUUUCAGCGGGGAGGAAGGUGUUGUGGUUAAUAACCGCAGCAAUUGACGUUACCCGCAGAAGAAGCACCGGCUAACUCCGUGCCAGCAGCCGCGGUAAUACGGAGGGUGCAAGCGUUAAUCGGAAUUACUGGGCGUAAAGCGCACGCAGGCGGUCUGUCAAGUCGGAUGUGAAAUCCCCGGGCUCAACCUGGGAACUGCAUUCGAAACUGGCAGGCUUGAGUCUUGUAGAGGGGGGUAGAAUUCCAGGUGUAGCGGUGAAAUGCGUAGAGAUCUGGAGGAAUACCGGUGGCGAAGGCGGCCCCCUGGACAAAGACUGACGCUCAGGUGCGAAAGCGUGGGGAGCAAACAGGAUUAGAUACCCUGGUAGUCCACGCCGUAAACGAUGUCUACUUGGAGGUUGUGCCCUUGAGGCGUGGCUUCCGGAGCUAACGCGUUAAGUAGACCGCCUGGGGAGUACGGCCGCAAGGUUAAAACUCAAAUGAAUUGACGGGGGCCCGCACAAGCGGUGGAGCAUGUGGUUUAAUUCGAUGCAACGCGAAGAACCUUACCUGGUCUUGACAUCCACAGAACUUUCCAGAGAUGGAUUGGUGCCUUCGGGAACUGUGAGACAGGUGCUGCAUGGCUGUCGUCAGCUCGUGUUGUGAAAUGUUGGGUUAAGUCCCGCAACGAGCGCAACCCUUAUCCUUUGUUGCCAGCGAUUAGGUCGGGAACUCAAAGGAGACUGCCAGUGAUAAACU